CGGAUCGUUAACCCACUGAGCAAGGGCAGGGAUCGAACCCGCAACCUCAUGGUUCCUAGUCGGAUUCGUUAACCACUGCGCCAUGACGGGAACUCCCAAGAUUAGGUUCCCAGGCUAGGGGUCUAAUCAGAGCUGUAGCUGCCGGUCUGCGCCACAGCCACAGCAACACCAGAUCUGAGCCACAUCUGCGACCUACACCAUAGUUCACAGCAAUGCCAGAUCCUUAACCCACUGAGCGAGACCGGGGAUCCAACCCACAACCUCAUGGCUCCUAGUUGGGUUCACUAACUGCUGAGCCAUGACGGGAACUCUGAUUCCUAUAAAUAUUUUCUUGAGUUUUGUUCUGGAACAUGAUGCAGUUCCUUACAAAUGGUUUGUUCAUUUCAAAUCUUGUUAGGUGGGAUCAGAGCAGCAUUUAGUUUAGGGCUAAUUAUUUCCCACUACUGAGCCAAAACUCUUCUGAGUACUCUAAUAGUUUGUUAAUUCUGAGGUUUUCCACUCUGUUGGGAAUCAGUCCUCUUCUUGGCCCUGUGUGAGCCUCAUGAAUUAUCCUUGUUAUUCUUUUUUUGUUGUUGUUGUUGUCUUUUUGCCAUUUUCUUGGGCCGUUUUCGUGGCAUAUGGAAGUUCCCAGGCUAGGGGUCGAAUUGGAGCUAUAGCCGCUGGCCUAUGCCAGAGCCACAGCAACGUGGGAUCCAAGCCACGUCUGUGACCAACACCACAGCUCACGGCAACGCCGGAUCCUUCACCCACUGAGCAAGGCCAGGGAUCGAACCCGCCACCUCAUGGUUCCUAGUCAGAUUCGUUUCCACUGCACCACAACGGGAACUCCAGUCCUUGUUAUUCUUUUGGGUAGUUCUCCCUCCCGCUUUGCUGUUGUUUUUUGUUUUUGUUUUUUGCUUUUUAGGGCCAAACCCACGGCAUAUGGAAGUUCCCAGGCUUGGGGUCCAAUUGGAGCUCUUGCUUCCACCUUACACCACAGCCACAGCAACACCAACGUGGGAUCUGAGCCUCGUCUUCCACCUACAGCAUAGCUCACUGCAAUGCCAGAUCCUUAACCCACUGAGGGAGGCCAGGGAUCGAACCUACGUCCUCAUGGAUACUAGUCAGAUUGCCCCCCACCCCCGUUGGAUGCCCCUCAUCACAUGGAGCUCCCAGGCCAAGGAUCAGAUCCGAGCCGAAGACCUAAGCACUAGCUGCGGCAAUGCCAGAUCCCCAACCCACUGUGCCGGGCUGGGGAUCAAACCAGUAUCCUGGUGCUCCCAAGACGCUGCUGGUCCUGUUGCACCACAGUGGGAACUCCUGGGUGGUUCUUCAUAUGGAAACCUCAAGUAUUUUCUUCACAGGCGUCUGCUGGCCAGUACUGUCCUGAGUACGCAAGGAGGAGAGCUCUGGACUCCUCUUUCUGUGCAGCUCUCUCUUUUGUGGAUAACCUGCCCUGCAGACUCGAGCUGCCUUGUCCGCCUUGGCCUCAACUUGUCUCUAAGUGUGGGGAGACUGCCUAACUUCCCCUGGAUUCCUUCUCCCUGUGCUGCCAGUUGGAAACCCUCCAAGCAGUAAACUGGGGUGGUUGUAGGAUUUGCUUCAUUCUUUCCUUGUUUCUCAGGGAUCACUCUACUUCGUAACUUUGUGUCUUAAAAACUAUUGCUUUGUAUAUUCCAGUUUUCAGUUGUUCACCAUGGUGGAGUAAAUCUGGUUCAUGUCAUCCCACCUGCCUGGAAGCAGAAGUGUAAACUUUUUUUAAAAAAGGGAAGUAGGUAAUUCUCAUUGUGGCUCAGCGGAAACGAUCCUGCCUAGUAUCCAUGAGGACACAGGUGCGAUCCCUGGCCCUGCUCAGUGGGUUAAGGAUAUGGUGUUGCCAUGAGCUGUGGUGUAGGUCUGGCAUUGCUAUGGCUGUGGUGUAGGCUGGGAGCUCCAGCUCCAAUUUGACCCCCAAGCCUGGAAACUUCCAUAUGCCACAGGUGUGGCCCCAAAAAGACAAAAAAAAAAAAAAAAAAAAAAAAAA
rnacentral:lncRNA from 1 species